AUCACAAGAGUUGGUGGAUGCCACAUUUCUGAAGCCCUGACAUUAAGGAACUAAGCUGAAAGGAUAUUUCCCAGGCUUAGGGUUUCAGGAAAUUGCAGGUGGAGUAAUGUCAACAAUUCACAGGACUCUGAUAUAGAUCACUAGUUUUCAUUCUCCCAAAUAGAAAAACUCGCCAUGUGACCCUUCGUUGGCUGCUCUAGUAAAGCAAUUUGAAUUUUGCUGACCUAAAUGUACUGAAGGAGAGUGAUGAUGACAACUGCUUUUCUUGCUGAACUUGAGAAAAUAAUAAAAAUAAAGAGGUGAAGAACAGGUUAGUGAGUGUGCCAGAGCUUCUUCACUGGAAACCUGGAUUCUCACAAAGACUCUUUUAUUGUGGGUGAUUAUCUAAGCCACUGUUCUCCAGGGGCUCUUGGACCAUGGCCAAGAGGAGCUGGAGCUGGAACACAGGCCACUUCAGGGUCCACAGCUGGACCAAGGUCUGUAUGCCCAUUACUGGAUACACAAGUAUGUGAGACUCCUCUCUGGCCACUUGUUGUUUGGUGCUGGAUUCCACAGCUCCCACAAAAACACUUUUGUCUAUGGACAGAUGCCCAAUUGUUAUUGAGAGUGGGAUAUGAUGAGGGACAACUUAUUCGACCUUCUUGUUGAUGUCACUUCUUGUAGGCUGCUGUUAAAGAAAAAAAGUAUUCUGAUUUUUAUUAUAGAUAGUAAGGAACUCCUUAUUCAGGACUGUUGGAAUGGACGUCAAUAUUAUUUCAAUAGGGGAAAGUGACUGGGAUCAUCUAUGAACACAAAAAGGAAAAGUGGCGAUUUAUAGCCAAGGAGCAGGUUGAGGGGUCAGUGGGUAGAAAUUACUGGGGAGGUGGAGUACUUUUUGCUAAACUAAACUAGCAGAAUUUUUGAUGAAGGGAGGCCAGAGUGAUCAGACAUCACUUGGAGGAUGGUGGGGGAGGAAGAAUUUGGUCAUAUAUCAAGGGUGAUCAAAUAUGGAGGAUUCUGGCUAAACUGAUUUGACAGGAUUCUUGAUAAAACUAGGCAAUGCAAAGAUGGACACAGGAUCCCAAAGUCAGGACCUAGUUGAGAAGAGGGUUCAGAGGAGCCUGACUAAAGUUUGGUUAAAAAAGGAAUCUUUGCAACUAGAGAUUAUCAUAAUAAGUGAAGUAAGUCAGAAAGACAAAUACCAUAUGAUAUCACUUAUAUGUGGAAUCUAAAAUAUGACACAAAUGAACCUAUCUACAAAACAGAA